GAUGAACGCUGGCGGCGUGCCUAACACAUGCAAGUCGAACGGAAAGGCCCUGCUUUUGUGGGGUGCUCGAGUGGCGAACGGGUGAGUAACACGUGAGUAACCUGCUCUUGACUUUGGGAUAACUUCAGGAAACUGGGGCUAAUACCGGAUAGGAGCUCCUGCUGCAUGGAGGGGGUUGGAAAGUUUCGGCGGUAGGGGAUGGACUCGCGGCUUAUCAGCUUGUUGGUGGGGUAGUGGCUUGCCAAGGAAUUGACGGAUAGCCGGCCUGAGAGGGUGACCGGCCACCAUAGUACUACGAGACGCACCAGUCGCGUACGGUGGGCAACGGUGGGGAGUCUUGCACAAUGGGCGGGAGCCGGUUACGGCGGCGCCGCGUGCGUGAUGACGGCCUUCGGGUUAUAAACCGCUUUCGCCUGAGACGAAGCGUGAGUGACGGUAAUGAAUAAAGAAGCACCGGCUAACUACGUG
rnacentral:rRNA from 1 species